CAGGUAAGAGCUGUACUUUCAAUUUUUCCAAGCGAGGUAGGCACGGACAGUGGCCAAUGUAAAAGAGAUUGAGAGGGGAGGUAACAGGAGGCUGGAAAAAGACAGAAGAUAGCGGUAUAGGGAGAAUGUUUUGGAGGUUAAAGGGGAGAGAAGAAACAUUUGAGAGUAGAUAUGAGUCUGUUUUACUGGAUUUCAUUUCAAACCCAGACACCAUGUUCCUCUCAAAUAAAACUAGUGAAUGAGAGCCCAACGCUAAGAAAUGGGCAGAGCUUUAGUCCAGUACAGCUGAUUGCCUCACGCCCCAUUGCAGAUGAAUGCCUUGAAGAUACUUUACAGGAAAAACUGUCACAUCUAGGAGGGAAAGAGAAUAUACUGCUGGUAGGAGAGGCUGGGUAUGAUAAAAAUAAUUCUUACCAUGGGAUUUUGCAAAAACUCUCCUUUGCACUGUUCCAGUUGCCAGAACAAGACCCUCCACAGGAAAACGAUGGUGAGAACUGGAAUCUAGAUGGAAUGAAUGUUGGUGCAAGUUCUUCUCAUGCCCCACCCAGAAUGUUACAAUACUCAGCUGUUCUGGUAGUUUUCCGGGCUACAUUCAUUUUGAACUCAACACCAACACAAACCUUAUCAGAGAAUUACUAAGAGACGCGAGGAUCAGAAUCCAAGGAUCGGGGUCAGCUCUGGUGGGAAUUGUCUACAGCCAAGAAGAACUUGACAUAGAAACAAAGUCAGUGUCCCAGAUGAAGUUCUGACUCUUGAUCGAACAGGGUUUUCAGGAAUAUCCAUGGGGGAUCUGCUACUACACCUGUACUCAACCUGAAACCAUCCUACAGGUAAAAUAAGACUAUAGAAGAGACACUACUAGGAAAAACUGCAGAUGGGGGUGAAAGCUCUGACGUGUUUCCCUUGGUACGGGAGAAGGAAGGAAAGAAAAAGGAAGAAGAGUGAGGAGGAAUCUCCUUCUCCUACCUCACCUUCCUCCCCAUCAUCUUCUGGCCACAAGCAAAGUCUCCGCUCCACUCCCUCCGUGAAUAGUGAGACGGAUGCACAGCAGAGCAGGGCUUACUUCAGCGGGAAGGCCAGGGUGUCCUUCCGCCAUCAGAUGGACUCGACCAUGUCUGCUAACGACUCAACCUUCUGAGUUACAUGUUUUCAUAGAAAUGAGCCUGAAUGUCAUUAAAAGGGGAUUCCUGCUUCCUGAGCCAACCAUAGGACCUUCUGAGACACCUUCUCAAGUGAAGAUCUAACCUUCCAGUUAGAGUUAAACCUUCUGUGUCGCAAGACUUCAGUAUUACAUUGGAUUAGAGCCUCCAGUCUAUCCACACUGAUAAUGGUUACAAACUAUUCUUCUGUGAGCCUCAAGAACAAAUACUCUCUGAUUCCCUCUCAAUGAAGAACUUUCCACCUUCUGAGCCAAGCUUUCAGAUGGAUCUAUCUAUUCCCACAUUUCUGACCCCAGUUGAACCUAUCCAUAAUAGAGACUGAUACUUGCACAGUAACUUCACCCUCAGAGCCAAAAUAACAACCCACCAUUGCUACAACUUCAUGUUCAGUAAUCGACAAUGGAUAAGAAUGUGAAGCAAAUGGAUGUAGUAAGUGUAGCCUCCUGUGCCUUAAUGAGGUGCAGAAAAUGACCCCCCAGCAAAGGCUUAGGUCCUAUACCCACUAUACCCUUCUUCUACCCACAUUUUGAACCUCUAUCAUAUCAAACUCAAGAAGAACAUGUUCUCAACCUCUUGUUCCAACAAUUUCUUAUCCUCAAACUUUCAAUGUUCCAGCUUAAACUCCAUGUUCCAACCCCCAAGGCUUGAUAACUCCAAAUCCUUACCCCCAAAUACUAAUGAAUAUUCUAAACCCAAAAGGCUUUAUAACCACACAUUUUAACCCCAAACCUACUCCAUGUUCUAAACCUCAAGCCUUAAUAGCGAACUCCAAAUGUAUUCCAUGUUCUACUGUACGCUUCAUAACUCCAUAUUCCAGACCACAAACCUUGAUAACUACACAUUCUAACACCAGACUUUUUUUUUUUAAAUUCCAAGAUUUGAUAGCUAAUCCCCAAAACUAUUUUAUGUUCUAACCUCAAUGCUUUGGUAUCUCCAGUCUAGAUGCUAAAGCCUCGAUAAUGACAUAUUGUUACCAUCAAAACUAUCUCAUAGUCUAACCACCAAGCCUUGACCACUCCAUACGCUUACCACAAAGCAUUGAUAAUUCUAUAUCAUAAACUACUUCACAUUCCAACCCCAAAAGCCUACCUCCAUAUUCUAACUUCCAAGUCUCCACAUAACUGCACAUUAUAUUUUGAACGUCAAGAUCUGAUAACUCCAUGUGUUUACUCAUAAACCCUUGUUAACUCUACAGUCUAAUCUCCAAGACUCAUCUGAAACCUUAAUUACCAGUUCACUUCCAGGGCAUCAGACGUAAUUAAAUUCUGCACUUCAAGUUGUGCUAAUGACUUCACAUUCCAAUUCUAAGACCUGUGUAGAAACAUCUGGUCCCUCAUAUUAUUAACAAACAAAUCCAUAUUGUCAUGUGCAAGCCUUGCCAGAAACUCCAGUGUGUGCUCCUAGCAAACAACUCAACAUUCUCAUCCUCUGAGCUUGAUAACAAACAGGGGGAAACCCUGAAUAGGGUCAGACCUGCAUAACAACUUUACACUGUGUUCCUUGCCAACAUACAGCCUUGAUGUGCAAUAUCAAACAUUCAUUAGCUGCUCCACCCUCAAAUUCAUAAGUUUGCAUUCUGAGCCAAUUUAAUCAGGGACAAUGAUUUCUCUGCCUUUCCAAUAAUCAGAAAGUACUGACAUUCUGUGCCCUGUUAAUGAGGCAUAUUAACAACUCCGCCUUCUGAUCGCUGGGAAUAACUAUGCCUAACAUGAACAGCUCCACCUUCUAAUCGCUGGGAAUAACAAUGUCUAAUAUGAACAGCUCCACCUUCUGAUCGCUGGGAAUAACUAUGUCUAACAUGAACAGCUCCACCUUCUGAUCGCUGGGAAUAACUAUGUCUAAUAUGAACAGCUCCAUCUUCUGAACGCCGGGAAUAACUAUGUCUAACAUGAACAGCUCCAUCUUCUGAUAACAGGGAAUAACUAUGUCUAACAUGAACAGCUCCAUCUACUGAUCACUGGGAAUAACUAUGUCUAACAUGAACAGCUCCACCUUCUGAUCGCUGGGAAUAACUAUGUCUAAUAUGAACAGCUCCAUCUUCUGAACGCCGGGAAUAACUAUGUCUAACAUGAACAGCUCCAUCUUCUGAUAACAGGGAAUAACUAUGUCUAACAUGAACAGCUCCAUCUACUGAUCACUGGGAAUAACUAUGUCUAACAUGAACAGCUCCACCUUCUGAUCGCUGGGAAUAACUAUGUCUAAUAUGAACAGCUCCAUCUUCUGAACGCUGGGAAUAACUAUGUCUAACAUGAACAGCUCCAUCUUUUGAUAACAGGGAAUAACUAUGUCUAACAUGAACAGCUCCAUCUACUGAUCACUGGGAAUAACUAUGUCUAACACGAACAGCUCCACCUUCUAAUCGCUGGGAAUAACUAUGCCUAACAUGAACAGCUCCAUCUUCUAAUCGCUGGGAAUAACUAUGUCUAACAUGAACAGCUCCACCUUCUGAUCGCUGGGAAUAACUAUGCCUAACAUGAACAGCUCCACCUUCUGAUCGCUGGGAAUGACUAUGUCUAACAUGUACAGCCUCCAUCUUCUGAUCACUGGGAAUAACUAUGCCUAACAUGAACAGCUCCACCUUCUGAUCGCUGGGAAUAACUAUGCCUAACAUGAACAGCUCCAUCUUCUGAUUGCUGGGAAUAACAAUGUCUAACAUGAACAGCUCCAUCUUCUAAUUGCUGGGAAUAACUAUGUCUAAUAUGAACAGCUCCAUCUUCUGAACGCCACGAAUAACUAUGUCUAACAUGAACAGCUCCACCUUCUAAUCGCUGGGAAUAAAAGUCUAAUAUGAACAGCUCCACCUUCUGAUCACUGGGAAUAACUAUGUCUAACAUAACCAGCUCCAUCUUUUGAUAACAGGGAAUAACUAUGUCUAAUAUGAACAGCUCCAUCCUCUGAUAACAGGGAAUAACUAUGUCGAAAGUAAACAGCUCCACCUUCUGAUCGCUAGGAAUAACUUUGUCUAACAUGAACAGCUCCACCUUCUGACCACUGGGAAUAACUAUGUCUAACAUGUACAGCCGCCAUCUUCUGAUCACUGGGAAUAACUAUGUCUAACAUUAAUGGCUCCACCUUCUGAUACUCAACAGAACCUCAUUUAUGGACACAAAACUCCGUUCCUCUGAACUGCUGAAAGCAAACGUUCUCCAUGAACUCAUGAACAGAACCAAUGGAAUCGGAUGGGUCCGGGGUAAAGAGACUGCAGUGUUGUUACUAGGAUUUGGCAAGGGGCCGCGCUUCCAUAAGGGGAGGAGCUACCAUGAGUUCCAGUUCCAACACUGCUAUUAAGUGUAAAGACAAUAAAUAGAGUUAGAAUUUUUUAUUAA